rnacentral:rRNA from 1 species
GAUGAACGCUGGCGGCGUGCUUAACACAUGCAAGUCGAACGGUGAAGGCGGAGCUUGCUCUGCUUGAUCAGUGGCGAACGGGUGAGUAACACGUGAGCAAUCUGCCCCUGACUCUGGGGUAAGCGCUGGAAACCGCGUCUAAUACUGGAUACGAGCUGCGAAGGCAUCUUCAGCAGCUGGAAAGAACUUCGGUAAGGGAUGAGCUCGCGGCCUAUCAGCUUGUUUGUGAGGUAACGGCUCACCAAGGCGUCGACGGGUAGCCGGCCUGAGAGGGUGACCGGCGACACUGGGACUGAGACACGGCCCAGAAUCCUACGGGAGGCAGCAGUGGGGAAUAUUGCACAAUGGGCGAAAGCCUGAUGCAGCAACGCCGGGUGAGGGACGACGGCCUUCGGGUUGUAAACAUCUUUUAGCAGGGAAGAAGCGAAAGUGACGGUACCUGCAGAAAAAGCGCCGGCUAACUACGUG